AUGAACGCUAGCUACAGGCUUAACACAUGCAAGUCGAGGGGCAGCAUGGUCUUAGCUUGCUAAGGCCGAUGGCGACCGGCGCACGGGUGAGUAACACGUAUCCAACCUGCCGUCUACUCUUGGACAGCCUUCUGAAAGGAAGAUUAAUACAAGAUGGCAUCAUGAGUCCGCAUGUUCACAUGAUUAAAGGUAUUCCGGUAGACGAUGGGGAUGCGUUCCAUUAGAUAGUAGGCGGGGUAACGGCCCACCUAGUCUUCGAUGGAUAGGGGUUCUGAGAGGAAGGUCCCCCACAUUGGAACUGAGACACGGUCCAAACUCCUACGGGAGGCAGCAGUGAGGAAUAUUGGUCAAUGGGCGAGAGCCUGAACCAGCCAAGUAGCGUGAAGGAUGACUGCCCUAUGGGUUGUAAACUUCUUUUAUAAAGGAAUAAAGUCGGGUAUGGAUACCCGUGUGCAUGUACUUUAUGAAUAAGGAUCGGCUAACUCCGUGCCAGCAGCCGCGGUAAUACGGAGGAUCCGAGCGUUAUCCGGAUUUAUUGGGUUUAAAGGGAGCGUAGAUGGAUGUUUAAGUCAGUUGUGAAAGUUUGCGGCUCAACCGUAAAAUUGCAGUUGAUACUGGAUAUCUUGAGUGCAGUUGAGGCAGGCGGAAUUCGUGGUGUAGCGGUGAAAUGCUUAGAUAUCACGAAGAACUCCGAUUGCGAAGGCAGCCUGCUAAGCUGCAACUGACAUUGAGGCUCGAAAGUGUGGGUAUCAAACAGGAUUAGAUACCCUGGUAGUCCACACGGUAAACGAUGAAUACUCGCUGUUUGCGAUAUACUGCAAGCGGCCAAGCGAAAGCGUUAAGUAUUCCACCUGGGGAGUACGCCGGCAACGGUGAAACUCAAAGGAAUUGACGGGGGCCCGCACAAGCGGAGGAACAUGUGGUUUAAUUCGAUGAUACGCGAGGAACCUUACCCGGGCUUAAAUUGCAGAUGAAUCACGGUGAAAGCCGUAAGCCGCAAGGCAUCUGUGAAGGUGCUGCAUGGUUGUCGUCAGCUCGUGCCGUGAGGUGUCGGCUUAAGUGCCAUAACGAGCGCAACCCUUGUUGUCAGUUACUAACAGGUUCCGCUGAGGACUCUGACAAGACUGCCAUCGUAAGAUGUGAGGAAGGUGGGGAUGACGUCAAAUCAGCACGGCCCUUACGUCCGGGGCUACACACGUGUUACAAUGGGGGGUACAGAGGGCCGCUACCACGCGAGUGGAUGCCGAUCCCCAAAACCUCUCUCAGUUCGGACUGGAGUCUGCAACCCGACUCCACGAAGCUGGAUUCGCUAGUAAUCGCGCAUCAGCCACGGCGCGGUGAAUACGUUCCCGGGCCUUGUACACACCGCCCGUCAAGCCAUGGGAGCCGGGGGUACCUGAAGUGCGUAACCGCGAGGAGCGCCCUAGGGUAAAACUGGUGACUGGGGCU
rnacentral:rRNA from 1 species